rnacentral:rRNA from 1 species
CCAAUAGCGUAUAUUAAAGUUGUUGCAGUUAAAAAGCUCGUAGUUGAACUUCGGGGUUUACCCAUUGGUCAGGCUUAAUUGUCUGUACUGGUGAGAUAAAUCUCUACCUUCUGAGGAACUUUCAUGUCAUUAAUUUGGUGUGAUUGGAAAUCAGGACUGUUACUUUGAAAAAAUUAGAGUGUUUAAAGCAGGCUAACGUCUGAAUACAUUAGCAUGGAAUAAUGAAAUAGGACGGACUGAUUCUAUUUCGUUGGUUUCUAGGAUCACCGUAAUGAUUAAUAGGGAUAGUUGGGGGCAUUAGUAUUCAAUUGUCAGAGGUGGAAUUCUUGGAUUUAUUGAAGACUAACUACUGCGAAAGCAUUUGCCAAGGAUGUUUUCAUUAAUCAAGAACGAAAGUUAGGGGAUCGAAGACGAUCAGAUACCGUCGUAGUCUUAACCAUAAACUAUGCCGACUAGGGAUCGGACGAAGUUAAUUUUAUAAUGACGCGUUCGGCACCUUACG